GGGCGGUUAGCUCAGUUGGUUAGAGCGCCACGCUUACACCGUGGAAGUCGCGGGUUCGAGUCCCUCACCGCCCA
rnacentral:tRNA from 1 species